UACGGGGGGGGCAAGCGUUGUUCGGAAUUACUGGGCGUAAAGGGUUUGUAGGUGGCUUGCUAAGUCAGACGUGAAAUCCCUCAGCUUAACUGGGGAACUGCGUCUGAGACUGGCAAGCUUGAGUGCAGGAGAGGAACGCGGAAUUCCAGGUGUAGCGGUGAAAUGCGUAGAUAUCUGGAGGAACACCGGUGGCGAAGGCGGCAUCCUGGACCAAUUCUGACGCUGAGGAGCGAAAGCCAGGGGAGCAAACGGG
rnacentral:rRNA from 1 species